UAGAUAUGUGCACAUUGCUUGACUUGGGAUUUGUCGAACUUAACAUAGUUUUGGUAUUUAUUGGUGUAAAUGUAUACAACGUAUAAGCUACACUAAAUACAACGAUUCCAAUUAAGUGUGUUUUUAAGUUAUUUCAACGUAUUUAGGAUGAUUUCAUUAUCAUUCUAACUUUUAUUUACGUUAACUAUGUGGACAUUUUUUUGCAAUGCCUGACCCUGGACUUCCGGAUCUUGCCACAAUGACGAAUGGAGCGUUCGCUGUAGACGCUCAAGUCAAUCUUUUGGAACAGAGCCUCACGGAAUGGAUCCGAGUGUUCUAUGAUAGUCCAGGCAACAGGGCGGCAGUAAAGCUGUUUGCCAACGGAAUGGACACCUUGAUUGUGUUCAACCACGCUUCAGACGAAGUGUAUUAUUUGAACCGUAUGUACGUUAGAUAGCUUUCUUGAAAAGUUCAAUUUAAUCCAUGAUGUGCAUAUUAUUUGAUUAAAUAUAUUAUAUUAAACGUAUUUAAAAAACGAUCUAGUCAUAUGACAAUAACUAAGCAAAUAAACAUUAAUUACAUUAAAUUUAUAGUAAUAAUAUAUUAUGCACUGUCAAAAAUUUGCUCUCUAUAUAAAUAUCUUCAAAUUAUAAGGGCAAUAAUUCAUAUAGCAAUAUGUUGAACUUGUGUAUGUGUGAGUAUAAUUGCUUCAUGUGUGUCAUAAAUGACCUUCUUUAAGUACAUCAACUUUAAAAACAUGCAUCACAGAAAUAUAUACCAUAUUUAUAAAUUAAAGUCGAAUGUCUAAACUGUCAUCGCUUAAUCCCACUUUUUCAAUCUAGUUGGAUAUAAAACAUGUGAUCGCUAAACCCCACUUAAUUUCAAUCCGGCUGGGUAUUACAAUUGCACGGUGUGCGGAUCUCCGGAAGUCGUUACUCGCAGCUGUUCGGAUUUCACAUCAACAACAACUUACCUCACAUAGGAACCUUGCAGGAGGCGUUUAAGUUUGGAACGGAUUAUAAUGAGACGUACCUAGGCAACACAACAGUGAACGGCGUGCCGGUGUACCAUUGGACCAGCUGCGUUAACAACACGAGAAAGAUUGACUACUACUUCAACGUGGCGGGCAACUGGACGACCUCGUCUACGAUGAGCUCAGUUCCG